CACGCACGCUGGCGGCAUGCCUAACACAUGCAAGUCGAACGAGACCUUCGGGUCUAGUGGCGAACGGGUGCGUAACGCGUGGGAACCUGCCCUUAGGUUCGGAAUAACUCCCCGAAAGGGGUGCUAAUACCGGAUAAUGUCUUCGGACCAAAGAUUUAUCGCCUUUGGAUGGGCCCGCGUUGGAUUAGCUAGUUGGUAGGGUAAAAGCCUACCAAGGCGACGAUCCAUAGCUGGUCUGAGAGGAUGAUCAGCCACACUGGGACUGAGACACGGCCCAGACUCCUACGGGAGGCAGCAGUGGGGAAUAUUGGACAAUGGGCGAAAGCCUGAUCCAGCAAUGCCGCGUGAGUGAUGAAGGCCUUAGGGUUGUAAAGCUCUUUUACCCGGGAUGAUAAUGACAGUACCGGGAGAAUAAGCUCCGGCUAACUCCGUG
rnacentral:rRNA from 1 species